ACCACAUUAGCACCCAGGCUAACUCUUAGCUCACUGAGAGACAGGUAGCCAUAUUGACACGGUGCAUGAGUCAAAGCUAAAACAACUACAGGCAAAAUUCUGCUUAAAAGAACGGAAAUUAUGCUGUGUGAGGGGAAGAUUCAAUAGAUUGCAGUUCUGGGGAAAGCAGAUAAGGAUCAUUUCUUGGGCUUUGUCAACGUGAAGUUUAUCCUCUUCUGAGGACUUUCUUCAACUCUUUUUCCCAGAGGCCAAAAAAUGAAGUCUUCGUCAUGUCCCACUCCACAGUGGCGCUUAACAUGAAGCUCCUAUGAAAGUAGACACUAAGGAUUUGUAAUUUCUGUAAGUAUUAGCCUACUAGGGGCGAAAACAUUCAUAGGAAAGUUUCUAAAUAUAACAUUUAACUUUUUUUCCCACUCAAAUGUUCAGAGAAAAAUGAUGAUAUCAAACCCAUUUCUGCUCUCUGAGACACCCCAAGUGCUUGUUCAUGAACAUCUACAAAACCUAAAGGCUUUAUCUUCAACCACUAAAAAUGCUGUGAAAGAUUAUCCAACAGAGGGAAAAACACAUGCCUCACACUGAAAGCCAACAGAGUCUUGACUCAUUUUAUAUCAGACUGGUGAUAAAACAAUUCAUUCAUUAACACUGAAUGAAAAUGUGUACCAGUAGAAUGUUUACUGGAAUGAAGGGUUAAGUGUGGUCACAAUUACUGGCCUCCACAUUUAAUUCACCAUUCAAUUCCUAUUACUGUACAUCUAGUUUUAAAUAAACAGGAAGGCUAUGCUAACUGAUUAAUGUUAGAUAUGAGUUUUUAUUAACUCUACAGUAUUAAUCACACUAAUCACACGAAUGUUCUUGCAAAUGUAGUGUCUCUUUUUCCUAGAUGAUGUUGACACUACAGAGUCAACUACUACUACUACACUACUACAGAGACCACAUAUUUCCUUCUUUUGUGACUGACCUGACAAUGACUGGACCUAAAUACUAUUCAAUAAAUGUUUAAUGGAAUGUGAAGCAACAUUUCCCUUUUUUUUUUGUUUAUUUUCAGCUCAUAAGGUAUACAUGAGUAAUAACCGCUAUGAUUUACAUACUACAGUCUAAUUAGUUAUUUGAUACCUAUGAAUGACUUGCAUGCUUAUAAUGCAGCGUAAUGCAGUUUUGUUCCUUUUGUUUGUGCCAAAUAAUUAUAAUAAAUAAUAUUAGACAGAAGUACGUAGACACCUGACUGAUCACGCUCGAACCCACAGACAUUAGCAGCAUACCGGAUAUGUUUCUGUUUUGCUUCAUAUAGCCCACUACUCAGGAUGUAAUGUUUAAUAAAUCCCUCAUACACACUUCGGUCACCGUCACUUCACUUUGUGCUUUAUGAGAUAAAUAUUCAUCCCAUGUCAUAAUAAAUCCCCAUUAUUAAUAUAAUGGAUACCAACAAUGUUGGAAAAACAUUCAAAGUACACUC